UACGUAGGUGGCAAGCGUUGUCCGGAAUUACUGGGCGUAAAGGGCGCGUAGGCGGCUUUGCAAGUCGGGUGUGAAAUCCCCAGGCUUAACCUGGGAACUGCAUUCGAGACUGCAUUGCUAGAGUAUGGGAGAGGGAAGUGGAAUUUCCGGUGUAGCGGUGAAAUGCGUAGAUAUCGGAAGGAACAUCAGUGGCGAAGGCGGGUCUCUGGGCCGAUACUGACGCUGAGGAGCGAAAGCGUAGGGGAGCGAAACGGG
rnacentral:rRNA from 1 species